AGACUGUAUGUGCUGAACAGUGUGAUGGCAGGUGCUAUGGCCCGUAUGUAAGUGACUGCUGCCACCGAGAAUGUGCUGGAGGCUGCUCAGGACCUAAAGACACAGACUGCUUUGCUUGCAUGAAUUUCAAUGACAGUGGAGCAUGUGUCACUCAAUGCCCCCAAACAUUUGUCUACAAUCCAACCACCUUUCAACUAGAGCACAAUUUCAAUGCAAAGUAUACAUAUGGCGCCUUCU